GCCUGCGUGGCUCAGUCAGUUGAGCAUCAGACUUCGGCUCAGGUCAUGAUCUCGUGGUCCACAGUCCGUGGGUUCGAGCCCCACGUCAGGCU
rnacentral:tRNA from 1 species